rfam:Agrilus planipennis Contig56472, whole genome shotgun sequence.
CGGUCACCGCAGAUACGGAUGGAUACCUAAUGAAUACGGACCAGCUGAAGAGGACCUUAAUUGGUCCUAAAACGGCCUGAGGUAGAGGGGUUUUAGUCGGUAGGUCCGAGGACUUCUUCCUCGGGAAUCCGACACUACCCAGUCGUACGGACGGCUGGGUGUCUUUUGAAGAUUUCCCCUCUUCCAC